rnacentral:misc_RNA from 1 species
CGUAAGGUGCCGAACGCGUCAUUAUAAAAUUAACUUCGUCCGAUCCCUAGUCGGCAUAGUUUAUGGUUAAGACUACGACGGUAUCUGAUCGUCUUCGAUCCCCUAACUUUCGUUCUUGAUUAAUGAAAACAUCCUUGGCAAAUGCUUUCGCAGUAGUUAGUCUUCAAUAAAUCCAAGAAUUUCACCUCUGACAAUUGAAUACUAAUGCCCCCAACUAUCCCUAUUAAUCAUUACGGUGAUCCUAGAAACCAACGAAAUAGAACCAAGCCGUCCUAUUUCAUUAUUCCAUGCUAAUAUAUUCAGACGUUAGCCUGCUUUAAACACUCUAAUUUUUUCAAAGUAAUAGUCCUGAUUUCCAA